UGGGGAAUAUUGCGCAAUGGACGAAAGUCUGACGCAGCGAUGCCGCGUGAGUGAUGAAGCCUUUCGGGGUGUAAAACUCUGUCAAGAGGGAAGAUUAUGACGGUACCUCUAAAGGAAGCAACGGCUAAUUACGUGCCAGCAGCCGCGGUAAUACGUAAGUUGCAAGCGUUAUCCGGAUUUAUUGGGCAUAAAGAGUGCGUAGGCGGUAUUUUAAGUCAGAUGUAAAAUCCCACAGCUCAACUGUGGUCAGCAUUUGAAACUGAAGUACUAGAGACUAGGAGAGGAAAGUGGAACUCACAGUGUAGCGGUGAAAUGCGUAGAUAUUGUGAGGAACACCAGUGGCGAAGGCGGCUUUCUGGACUAGAUCUGACGCUGAGGCACGAAAGCAUGGGGAGCGAACGGG
rnacentral:rRNA from 1 species